ACUAUUUCCACAGAGCCGGGACCGAGCGAGCCGGCGAGCGACCGAGGUAAAGGUAUCGCGCCUUAGUCAGAGGCCACCAAAGUUGGGUUUUAUGUUGUAGUAAAGUACCCUAUGAUCAUCUUUUGGACAUGAUGAUAAAUGAUGUAUAGAAAGAGAAUGUAAUGUGUAUUUUGUGGUAAAUGUGAUGUACGAAAGAAAUGAUGAAAUAAAAUGUAAGGAAUUCGAAAAUGAACAAGAUGAAUGCAAUGUAUAUGAUCAAAAAUGA
rnacentral:lncRNA from 1 species